CGGUGUAUUCUAAUUGUAUUAGAUAAGGUGGAGAAUUGUGAGUAAAGUAUCUACAUACAAUUAGUCUACACAGGUUCUCUGAUCUCGCCAGAGAAAUGGGUCACCAGCGGAAUGGAGAUUUCGCUGCUCUGAACUUGAGUUCUCUGGUGAUGCUUUGCUCUGCUCUGGACUUGAGUCCUCUGAACUUGAGUUCUCUGGUGAUGUGACUUCGCUGCUCUGGCAUUCGGGCAUUCGAUUCCUCUGGCAUGAUUUCUCUGACUGUGACUCCGCUGACAUAUUGAUUUCUCUGGUCUGGAGUUCGAUUCCUCUGACGGGUAAAAUAUGCACGGGUGUUUAGUCUUUUGCUGAGGGAUCUGUUAGCAAAUAUGCAAGAGUUAAGGGAGUUCAGUUUUAGGUUAGUUACAACAGAUCCA
rnacentral:lncRNA from 1 species